CUAUGUACUGUUAUUUAUCUGUCUAAUCUGGGUGAGAAGAAUUAACCUCUCUAGGCAUUUCUCUCUAAAUGCUCUACAUGUAGCUGAACCUCAACUAUGAGAUCUACGUAAAAAUCUGAAGUUACAAGGUGAUGACAUGUGCAUUGUUUGUUGAUUGUAUUUUUUAUUUAUUUUUUCCCUCUAAGCCCUGCGUGCUGGUACCAAAGAGCAGUGCUGAAACAAGCUCUCCAAUUUCCAAUGAGUGGAAGUUCUUGCUGCCCCGACUUUUCAGCUUCUGACCUAGCCCUGGCAAUCAGAUUCUUUGCUGCUGCUGCUUUCGAAGGAAAUGUUGGACAGCCUACAUCCUGCAACAUUACUAAUCAGCAGCAGGAUGAAAAGAAUAUUGAAAAAGUUGUAUCAACGAAAAUCACCAAAUCUGGACUACCAAGAAGAGAAACUCCCCCAAAGUAAUCCUUCAUAGACUGUCUUGGACACUUGGAAGAAAACAAACAAACAAACAAAAAAACCAGAACAACAACAAUCCCUAAUCACAACCUCACGAUCAGAACUGCCUAAUCAAUUUCCUUUGAAGAGUUUGCAAGCAACAGGCACUACUUUUAGUGCUUGAACUGCAAGUGAAAUGAGUUAUAAACAAGACUUGAACAAAAGUGGAGUUGAUAAAUUUAUUUUCAUUACCCAUUAAAAAAGACACACAAAAACAAACAAGCAAGGUAAUUUUUAAAAUCUUAACCUAACUCCCUUUUACUUUAUCUCUUUAUAUCUUUUUAAAAAUGCUUAAAUUAAUAGUUACCUAAGAAGCUCUGUAAGUGUAAUAUUACACUGUAACUGUAAUCUUGACCACUUGCUUAGUAUUAAGAAAUCAUUGCUUAAAUGGUUCUAUUAUUCAAAAUAAAUGGAUAUUUUCAGUA
rnacentral:lncRNA from 1 species